GAGAGCUAAGUCUACUAAGUAUCGGAAAGAAGAUUGAUCUUCACAAUUCCAUAGCAAUCACUCCAACCGGCCAUUUAAUAAUCUCCUUGGUGCAUGAAGACUUUCAAAAACUAGGAUUAGAGGGUACACCAUCCUUCUUUGAUCGUAAGGUGCAAACGCGUCACGGUAAGUCUCAGGAAGAAACUCAUUAAGGAACAAUAAUACAAAGCAGAAUAAAAAAUGCCGAGAAAACACCAAGUACCGACGCUGGAGGAACUCGCUCUAAGAUCUGUGGGUGAAUUUGUUACUACAAUCGGUAGAAACAUGAUCCAUCCGGUAUGCAAACUCUCUCAAGCCAAUCCUCAGCUUGGCCUGAUGACCCUACAGUUUUGGUUGGAAUGGAUAAAGAAUCAAUUGAGCUCAAGUGUACCCUGGCAUUUGCAUGAUCGUAUGGCUGUGGAAGCAUUAAAAGCAAUAUCGAAUCUCAUCAACGAAACAAAAAGCACCUACGAUAACUUUGCGCCUAUGAGAAUCUUCCUCUCGGAGAUGAACGUCGUCGUAAAUCUAACAGAAGUGGCUAUAAACUCGAAAUUAAGAUCAAUAGAGUUCACAGUAUGGCCAAAGAUUAUGCGACACGUCCUCUACAAAAAUCUUCACAAUAUGACAGGUCUAGAGGUUCUGGACCUUGGUUCAGGCUCCGCUGGCUGGAGAACUUCAGACAUUGAGAAAAUCAUCAUCGGAGGAGUAUGCUCUAUGUCUAAUUUGACUUCCUUCACAUUGUGCUUCGAUUGUACGGAUAGUAUUAUCACGGCUGUGGGACAGAACUGUCCAAAGCUACAGAAGCUAGACGUGACUGCCUCAAGAUCAGUUACUGAUCGUAGCAUAGGUGCUAUAUUGAAAUCCUGGCAGCUAAGGGAAGUAAAACUCUUCAGGACAUCCGUCACUAUAGCAGGAUACUCUGAAUUGUUACUAGGGCAUUCACGACUCGAGGACAUCGGCAGGUGCGAUGAGUUUGGUUAUAUCAUGGAGCACAUCAGAGCGAACGGGACCUUUGAGAAACCAUUUCAUCUGACGUCCUUUGAAAGUCGUGAUGUCACAUCCGAGCAUCUGUAUUUACUGAUAGAGAUGUGCCCUCGCAUAACGAAACUCUCUUUGCUCCACGACGAAAGGAUCAGUGAUCUGCUGAUCCUUGGUGCCCUGGACAAUCUCACUGAACUGAAAUUACUGUCGUGUGAUUUCUUUGCCGAUCGAGUCAAGACAUUACUAGAACUAAAGGGCGGUAAUAUUACCAGUCUUCACUUGGAGCAUGUAGACGAGAUAGAUCUGGACGCCCUCAUGUACAUCAGUCAAUAUUGUCCUAAGAUCAGGAAUCUUGUAUUUUACAAUUGUGAGUUCCUGGAGCACUCAUCGAUAUCACCCAGGAAGCUGACGGUGCCUCCUUUCAAGUAUUUAGAGAGAAUCAAGUGCGUAGUUGACUGCGCCAGUAUGCAUUUGGAAUUUUUACUCUCUCACUGUACCAAUAUUAAGUUCAUACAGUUAGGAUCGUCUACGGGGAUAGGCGACAUGACUAUGGCACGGGUACUAUCAAAGAAUCCAAUGACUAAACUCGAGGAACUCAAGAUAUUGUACAGCGAUGAUCUCUCGAUGAAGACGGUCCAGUUGCUUAUGCAGAACUGUGAGAAUUUACGAAGGAUCUCGGAAUUAGAAAGCUGGCAAGGCAUAUCAGUCAUUGAGAUUGACAUCUUCCGCAAGGCACUCAAAGAUAACAACGUCGACCUGGACACGAGUCCUACCUUGUCCUUAGCUUAAUUCAGAGUAUUCCUCAGGAUUAGUGACAGAGGUCGGUUGUGGCUUCCAAAGCUCAGGAUAAUAUAAUGACAGCAAAAGAGAGAGAAAUGAGACAUUCUCAAAAAAAAAACAGUUUUUUUCUUUUUUCUCAUUUCUUCUUUUAAAGAAAACGUAGCUUAAGUUAAUCCAGUUUUGUCGUUUACCUUAUUGUCUUUGAUUAUUACUUGUUUUCAUAAUUAAUAUGAAAUUUGCAAAAAAAUGACAUGAUCGUCGAGAGACGAAUUUUCUGUUAUCAUAAGCGACGAUGAUUAUUGACUGAGAAAAAUGAUACAAGGGAUUUUACACUGUAGUAUCGUACAGUCGUUAUUACGUAUUAUGCAAUAGUGCCGACGCGAAGGUGAUUUCGAUGAAUUUUACAUUAGCUAAGACAUGUAAUACGUAUUUUGUACUUUGAUCAGCAAUAUAUUGCGAUCGGCUAUAUUGGAACAUUAUGAUAACGUAAAAAAAAUCUAUAAGUAUCAAACCCAAAAAAAGGAAGCAUAAUCUUUCUGUCUAAAUUUAGGCAAUACGUAUUGCUAUGUAAACGAGGGAUGAUAAGUGCUAGAAUGUUUUUUUUUUUCACUUAACAGAUACCUACUGUUAAUUUAUAAAUGAACUUCGAUCCUGUGACAAGUGUACUAGUCGAACUGAAAUUGUGAUUAGCCAAUCGUCACAAUCGAUUUGAAAGAGGAGAAUUUUACGCCCGGUAAGAAGAAUUAUGAGCGUGUACGAGAAUCACUGGAGAAAAGAUUACCUGAAAAAUUUGUGGCAAUAGUAGCUUGGGAUCCUCCAGAUGAGAAGCUGUGUCCAUCUUCUAUUGGAGCUUGGUUUCAUUCACGUGGAUAUUCCGUAUCAUUGUGCCAGCAGAAAUUUAUAAGACGCAGUGAAUAUUCCAUAAAGGUACCCAUCAUCGAAGAACAUGCAAACUAUGACAAGUUAUUCGAGUGGCUUGGAGUGUUCAGCAUAGGUGGUGAUCU